CUGGGUAAAAGGACAAGCAGACCACGCGGUCUGGGUUCUGGUGGGGGAGUUCAGUGGAUUGUUGCAAGAUUCAGAGGCCAUGCUACCAAAAUAAAACUCUGGAUUACAAACUCUCCAUCAGGACCCGCUCCUUUCUUCACCUUGCCUCAAAGCUUUCUCCAGCUCAGGGAGGCCUGAGGAGUGAUCCCCUCAGCAGCAAGCUCCUCCCGCAAGCUCUGGAGCUCGGGGCAUGCCCGGACUUGUCUCCACAUGCCCAGUUUGACCACAGGUAAAUCCUGCUUCAGCUACAAAAAAGGCACAAAGCAAGGCUCAGAGCAUGAUCAGGCCUGGGUGGACAAGAAAUGAGGAGAGGAGUGAAGACUCAGACUCGCCUGCCAGUUAAUGCAGUGAUGCCCACAGUGUUUACUUGGACCACAGUCUUUCUAGGAUGCUGGUUUAUGUCUGUAUAUACCAAAAUGACAAGGUUGUUUACUGCACAAGAAGAUCACACUUCAAGGUCACACUGGCUUAAGGUGCACCACCAGCUUAGGCUGCAAGGGAAAGUUCAUGCAGGGAAACCUCGUGGCCUUCAUUUGGGAUGGACUGUUCUGCUCCUCAGCACCUGGCAUCACUUGGUGACCGCCCUGAAGUUGAACACAAAAGAAAUUGUUGGAUUUCAAAAGCAAAGAUCUGUCCUCUGCUUGCAGAAUGCAUCUUUCUAAAUGAAGAGUCACCAAAUGAGAAAGGGGUGGUUUAUGUACAAGUUACCCUCCAUCAAUUUUGAGCAAGUUAUAAGGAGUAGCAGCUUCCAUAAGGAACAGACCAGAAUCUGACAGCUUUCCACUACAGUUUAACGGAAAAGAAAUGUCCUGGUAUCUCUCAAGUAAAUGCUCUCAAUGAUACUCCUGCUGGCAAGCUGCUUUGUGCAACUUAGAAGGAAAUGGACAUAUUAGAUCUUCUUGGAAACAUCCUAUGCUAAGGAAACAAAACCUUCCUAAUGUAUCAAGCAGCAAAAUGAGCUCAAUACUUCUGUGGCAUUUUUGCCACUACAUCAGGAAAUGGUUGCUAUGGAGUGAAGGUUGCUGCUAAGGUGACUGUAAGAAUAAUGGUGCUAUUUGGAAAUGUAAAACUGGAUGAACACUAGGAAAGCCAGUGGUGUAAGAUGGUUGGCGUAGGGAAAACUCCAACAUCCUAUUGCUUUUUCCUGCAUUCCUCCUUCCAAUCUCAUCUCCCUUCUACAUCUGAAAGUCAAAGUCUGUGUGUUCAUUGGCAGAGAGGAGCAUAACUGAAUCUUCAGUUUCCUCUGAUUUUUAUGAGACAAGUUACAACCAACUGAAAGAAUCCUGCCUCAAUGGACCAAAAAUAACUUGUCAAGAUCAGAGCAAGUCAUCUGUCACAGGUUCCCUCUAAAAGCAACUGGAGAGAGGAAGAUCCUUUAGAAGUUAAUCCAAGGAAGAUUAUAUGUAAAUUCCUUAAUAGCAUUCUCCAACUGUGUUUCUAUAAUUUUGCUAAGGACUAUUCCAAACUUUGAACUGCGUAUUGAUGUUGGAGAUAUUCAAAAGACAUCUGGACAUGGUCCAUCAUCUCCUCUCCAGAAGGAUGGACCAGCUUGGCUUUUCACCUCUCUUAUUUAAGGCCGACAUAAGUCUAAUUUGAUGCAGAAAGUGGAGCCAUGAACAUCAGAAUAAUGUUGACUCCAGAUAUAUAGAAGCAAAGUUCCUCCAUUGGCUACAAGGAAAGCUGAAUCAAUGUCAGAACUUUCUUGUACUGUUUCUGCACUUUGGGGAGAUUCCAAAUCCCUGCUUUGGUCUUUCCUGUUUUUUUGACUGUCCACAAUCUGAUGUUGUAUAUAGUCAAAAAACCUCUGAUGCCCCUGAAAAUACAGAUACUACAGGACACAUCAAGACAAGAAGUACAGGGACAAAACAGAGGCAGCAUGGUUCAGUAGUGCUUUCUUAGCUCUGGCUUAGCACAAGACAUGUAAGUCACAAGCUGGCACUUGCAAAGCCAUGUAGGUGUUUCUGCACUGUGUUUCUGGCAGUCUCAGUGCUGGGGAGGCUGACCAGUUCCAGCUGUCAGUUCCAGAUCAGUUCUUACCACAGCACUUCUGCCCUUCCAAUGAGUUGAACUGAAUGUUGUGAAAAAAGCUUGAGAGGUUUUUUUUUUUUCUUUUAGAGACAGUGAAGAUUUACCUAGGCUUAUUAAAGGGAAACUGAUGUGUUCACAUUAUUUAUAUUGAUAUUUCUGUAGGUACUUUAUGUCUAUCCAAGAAUAUAACUCAAAAUUCAGUACAACAGGAAGGGCAACACAAAGCUGCUGUUAGGAUAUAUCAUUGUGAUGAGAUACAGGGAGGAGGAAAUUCUGUGAAGCAUUGUGGAAUUUUUGGUUGGCUUUUUUGAUUCCUAGCUGAAAACCAAACCAAAUCAGAAAAUAAAUAAACUCAAAACCAACUAAACACCCCUCCCCAAACUCACAAUAAAAAACACCAUAAAGUUUUUUCGCAGAAUAUUUUUUUAUUAUAGCAUCUUCCUAACUUUUCACGUAAGUUGAAUUUUGGUGUAAACUACAAUUGUAUAAUCUUUUGGCUAAUAUUUCUCAAAAAGAAGUCUUCAUAAACAAAUGAAAACAGACUUAAUAUCUCACCUGUAAAUUUUGGAACUGGUGAUAACUACUCACUGGCAACACAAAAUAUUUCAGGAUACCCUGUCAAGCACUUCAAAUUCUUGUCUUCCCUAUCUGACAUGGUAUGUGCCCUAUUUAAAUAGGAAUACACAAGUUUCUCAGACAAUGUGAAUUAACACAGAUCCAAGUAAGUCAAAGCUAGAUGAGAAUGCAAAUUAGCAGAGAUAACCUUAAUCUUAUUGAAGUUUUAAAUAGUUUAUUUAUAAUUUUUUAUCUACAUUCCUUGUGAAUUUUAUUUAUAACCAAAAUAGGAAACUGUCAAUGAAUCACACAGUACUCCAUCAGAUAAUCUCCUGUUUCUGUUAGUUAUUUAUUCAAGUGCUGUGGCAGACAUAGAAUCUGCCUGGGUUUUUUUGUCCCUUGCUUGUCUCAGCAUCUUUUUUUUCCUUGCCAUAUCUCUUCUCAUAUCUUAUAUCCUGUAUCCUGUGGUAUCUGAGGGGGAAAAACAGCCUUUUUUUUUCUUUUUUUUAGAGUGGGAACUAAGGAAAAUAUGUUGAUAAUGAUGCAGAGCUACAGCAAGUCUGAAGGAUGAGGGAGACACCAAUUGUGACAAAGAAAGAGGUCACUUUUUCUCUUGAAUGAUAAUCUUAAAUGAUACCCUGGUGAAACACUGUAGAGUAACUUGGUUAAGACCUGGUGGCUACUGAGCUGCUGUGUAAAUGGAAGGAGUUUAUAUUUGAGAAGCUUAUGGAAACAUCUCCAAGAACACAGAAAAUUGAGGAAAAGGGUACUCAUAAAAAGAUUAGCUGCUGAUAUAACACAUGUAGUAUAAAUGAUGAGUUUGCAGGUAAAAUAUAAAAAGAAAAAUAAUAAGUAGAGGAAGAAAAUAACAGCUAGUGUUGCAAAGGGGAAGAAAAGGAUGAUGUGAGACAGCUACAGCUGAAGAAACAGUUUGAAAAAUGAGACCAAGUUAGAUGAAAGAGGAAAGAGCAGCAGGAGUUUAUUUGAGGCUGAAUAAGAGCCAAAGGUGAACACAGUGGAAUCUGCUAUUCAUCCAUCAUUAUAGAUUUGACAGAUUCCUUCUAAAGUAUCAAGAAUAUGCCAAACUGUGAGGCCAAUGAAUUAUAAUAGUAAAGGGUUUCAAGUGUUAUUUUUCUUAUAUUCUUUCCACAUAAAAAAAAAAUCCAAAACAAAAAAUGUAGGUGGAAGGACUGAAUAAACCGUGAAAAUAGAUAGAUGAUUGCAAAGAUAAGAUAACAUUAUAUUUUCAAGAUACUCUACUAUAGACAGGUGUUCAGAAACACAACGCAGUGACUGGAUGGAGUCCACUUUAGACAAAAACCAAUUUUUAGUUUACUAUGACUGCAAAAUUCGGAAAAUUAAAGGGAAAAAAUUUGCCCUCACUAAGCAAUUGCCAUUCCUACUUCUAACAAACAAAGAAAAGGGGCAAAAGAAAUUCACAUGACAUGUUGCAAUAGAUAAAUGAUCAGGAGGGAGGCAUAUUUAAUAAUAACACAAUAUCAAAGUUUAACUUUGAUACUUAACAGUAUAACUGUUCAUGGAAGAGUUGAGCAUAGAUAGUUGAAUAUAGUCAAAAAGAAAUAAUUGUAAAGUUUAUAAAGUCCAAAGAGAGAAGAUCAAUAAACAGAAGGAAAAGGACUGCAUGUGCAAAAGAGGGUAUUACACACGUAUUUGAAACCUGGUGGACUAAUCACUAACAAUGGAAGUGGAUUACUAAAAUUUAAAAAUUCAAGAAGCAAUAUAAAAGUAUCCAAGGAGGAACAAGCAUUAAAGAGAUGAAAAAAUCCACAGGAAAAAAAAGCAAAGGAAAUAUACUAAUUGCAGAAUUUGUAUGGUCCAAAUUAUUUUUUUUAAAGGUAGACAAAUUAUAAAAGCUGUAGUAGGGUUUUUAAAAUUCUAUUACUCACAUUAUUGAACCAGUAAGAGAUGACUCUAUCAGAUUCAGUUUUGGUAGAAGUUAACUGAGAUGGGGUGGUUGAAGAUAACAUGGGUUUAGUCACAGUAAAGCAAUUAAUUUUUAAAUUCAAUGAAUGGAAAAAACAUGUGAUAUAAGGUCUUCAAAUUCAAAAGAUAAUUUGAGUGCUCAAGAAACUGCAAAUUACUUUAGGCUAAAGAAAUUGUAUAGAAUAAAAAAAAUUUAUAUGCCUGGCAAUCUUAAUAAAGGUGCAUUAUACUGCCUGUAGUGAGUUUUAAUUUUAAAAUAAUGUUUUAUUCAAGUAUUAUUUUUAUUCCUUUUAACCUCGAAAUAAGCAUUUCAGAUCUUAUCUGAGUCUGUACUGAAAAUUCAUUAUAUGACUCAACACUUUCUUCACUUAGUACAUUCUUGGUAGUUAGCUAUUGUCAGUAUAACUUCAGACUUCUUCUAAUUAUUUAGAAAAGCAUGCAGUUGUUAUAAAUGCUAACUACAUAUAAUUUCUCACUAUUCUUAAGUGGGACCAAUUUCUAUGACAUUUCAGGAUAAUCAUACCUUAAGCCUUUUUGAGGUAAACUUGAAUUUUAGUUAAGGACUCAAAACCAUGGACUUUCCAAUACACAGACUGAGAGCUUUAGAUUUAAUGCACUUAUUUGAUGCUGAAAGGUGUGAGAGGGUCAGGAAUGAAAAUGCAGAUACUGUGCUAAUGCUGGCAGUUUCAAUUCUGCAUCUGUUGCCAUCUCCGUAUUGGAGAUGAACUCCAAUAAAUUGUACCAAUUCAUAAUUUUAAAACAGUCUCAUGGGUAUCUUUUUAUUGUGCAUUUUAGUAUGCAUCUGCAGUGACACAGUUCUGCGCUUCCCUUUACAUAGCAAAUGCAGCAGACAAUUUUCACUGUAAUUGUCAUGUUGUACCAUGAGUGCUGCAUCAGGAUUUAAGAAAAGGCUGUUAAGAGUAUCCCUCAUGAUAGUUUUCAGCUAAUGUAUACUUUGAUUCUGAAAGUUCAGGCAGGAUGUGUAACAAGGCAGAGACUUAUUUUAUUUGUUUUGCACAAAUUCAUAGGAAAAACCCUGACAAAUAUCUUAAAAGGUCAGUUCUUCUACUCAUCUCAAUGACAGAGAGGAUAUAUAGAAGAUUCCAUGCAAAUGAACACAUGGAUAAAAUUCUAUAUAAUAUAAUUUAUAAUAAACUCUCUGAUGAUAAUUUUCACAGAAGGAUCAAGAUGUGCAAGAAAUAAUAUUUAAGAGGAAAUAUUAAUGUUAAGUAAAACAAGGUCUUUUGUACAGUUUUAAAAACUACUAUUUUCCUUGGUCUAAAGCUCUUCUUGCUAGCUUUGAUUAUAUUUUAUGAGAAAGAGUCCGUCUUUUUCAGUAUUACAUGAUUCAGUAUUUUCAAUGUGAAGUAUUUAACAAAAAAUACAAAUUUUUAAGUAUAGAGAGAGUUUUGAGGUCUUAUAUUGUUUUAAUUGGGUGGUGUUGAAUAAGAACCCAAUAUAAAAUAAAUUACUGGAAGCUUUCUUCUAUGUGUAUAUAUUUAUUUAUGAAGAACACAUUUAAGUUUACACCAGCGUAAAAUAUAAUCCUAAAGUCAUUUAGGAUAAUUGUCAGUGGAUCUUUCAGAUUUUAAAUGUUGAUGAAUAUGAACCCAUCCAUAUACAUGCCUUAAAGAAAUAUGCCAUAUUGGAUACCACAAAAUUGACCUGUCUAUUAUAAAGAAUAUACUUCAUUCUAUAUUAAUAUUCAUAAUUAUUCAUGUCACAUCAGAGUUUAUGAUGGAAUUAAGUGAUAUUUAUGUAUUUAUUGCUGUGCUAUUUCAUUAUACAUCAUUGAGUUUUAUGACAUUUCUAAGCAAAUUAAUUAUACAUGUUCUCCCUGUUCCCCAGUCUGAACACUUAUAACCAGGGGCCAUUUGAAUAAAUAUCUGUAUAUAUCCUGAACUGGAAAGUUGGAUUUGAGAUACUUUUGCAUAAUUUUGUAAUUCCAUUAAAAUAUCAACAAAAAAAUGAGGGAAGAACUUCUGAAAUAAAAAGAAGUAGGAACAGAUUUAAUCAUGUUGCAUUAUACAUAAACUAGUAUUGAAUUUAUGUAUCUUGAAUUUAUGUUCCAUAUGAUAAUGAAACAGAACAUCUUAAAGUAUUCGUUCUGACCAGUGUUAAAUGUUGUGUUAAACACAGUUAUGAAAUAUUUACUUAAACCACUAUUUUUUGAUACCAAAAUAUGACAUGUUUGUAAUAUGUGAGUUACCACCACAUAGUAUUUUUAAAUAAUACUCAUGUAGGAAUUAAUUUAUCCUUAAAAUAAUUAUAGCUCAUAUUAAAGUGAUUCUGUGAUAAGUGACAUUAUACAAUAAAAAUCAUAUUAAGAAUAAUUAGAUGGGUGUUGCAAUGAAAAAUGAAUGUUACUUUUUAAUCCUUCCCUGCAUUUGACUAACUUAUAAGGGGAAACAUUUCAGUAGUAAUGAGAGUAUUGCAGUAACAGUAAUAAGGAUGUAUAAUAGUUGGAAAAAGUAACAACUAUAAAGAGGAUAUGCUGGUGCACAAAUGUAUGAACAUUUGACGUAGCAUGAGCAUCAAAGACAACACUGAGCAUCUCUUCUUCUCUCAAAACUGAUUUUAAUAGAUAAAAAUGUAACAGAAUGGUUAUAUUAAACCAAUGGUUAUAUUAUUAACAAGGGUCAUAUUAAAUACCACCUGACAGUUUAUUGCACGCCUGGGUUGUUUGCAAAAAAAAAUAGUAUUUAAUGAAAAGAAAUAUUUGGUUUCAUAUUUGCUGAACAGCUUAAUAUUCUAUAAAGGCUUCUGCUCAGCCACUUUCAAGUUUCUAGAACAGUCUUUCUAUGAAAAUAAAUCAGAAAAAUUGUGACCAGCUUUCAGCAAGGAGUUGACCCUCCAUGGCUGUUAGCACUUCUGUGUGGAAUGUUGGUAAAUAGGAUGAGCUAUAAGGAUCUGAACAAGUACUUCCUUUCUACUAUAAUAUUUGGUGUGGAAAAUUACAACUGUCUCCAAUUUUAAAAAUGACAUCUUGUUUUUCUUGUUUUUCUUGUUUUUGUUGUUAGCAUUGUGCAAGUUUUUUAAGAGAGAAAAAAUAGGGUGAGAUUGUGGGAAUAGAGGGAUUGAUUUUAUUUAUCAUAUAAAUGUAUACAAUUGUGCUUGUCUGUGUACUGCUUUUAUUCCUAGCAUUAAAAAAACAGAUGGAGAUGGUGCUAGAAAUAAUAAGUUUCCAUUAAUAAUUAAUCACAUAAAGGUAGGUUCAAAAUUGCAUACUUUCAUUUAAAAACAAAAAUGGAAAAAAUUCUAUACUGCCAGUAAAAUUUCUUCUAUAUUUUCAAUACUGUUGAAGUCUGUUACAUGCCCAGAUAGUAACAGUGGACUAAAUAUAUGAAAUGUCCUCUUCUGGGGAGUAUAACAGAUAUAAAUAUAUUGCAUUAAACUGAUAUUGAUACUAAUUUGCACUAUCAGCCACUAGUACUUACAUGAGCACAAACACAGUCCUGGCUGUGAAGUUCUACAUCAAGAGCUACAUCUCCUCUACACCAAGAUAAUUUCCUAGAUGUGAGAUCAGACUAAGUGCUGGGUUUCGUGUUUUACUUCUGUUUUGUCACAGAAAUCUGACAGAGGAAAUGUAAGUGUUGAAGGGUAAGGUUAAAAAGUAACAUUAUUCACAACACUCAAAAUGAAUCUCUGCACAAUGACUUGGUAACCAUGGACACAAAAAUCUCAUCUGAAUGUUAUCUGGAAGAUGAAAGAUUACAUCUAGGAAAUUUUUCAAUGUGUUAUUUGUUCAUGGGGAGCUAAAGAUGGAUCUCCUCAAAAUUUGGGUUUGAUAUGAUGCCUUAAGUUUUAGCUUUCAUAUUUUCCAGAUUCUGUACUGCAUCAGUACGUGACUCUGAACUUCAUAUAAAGUGUUUACGAGUUCUCUUCACAGUUUAGUUAGACAAAACAAUCCUUUUCCAGCCUGAGAACUAAGGACACUGUUGCAGCUUCAGGCCUAAAAGGUAGAAACAGCAGCAAAUUGAGGAGAGCAAUCUGGGAGGAUGGGACUUCAUAACCUGAAUCUGUAAUUGGACAAUGAACCCCAAUAUGUAAAUGGACCAAAACUUAUAAAAGUGUGAAAUCUCAUGACUUGGUGUCCAUCUUGGGUGGAGGCACGGCUGGACUCUUGUACUGCCCAAGGUGUAUCCUUUGAAGUCUUUUUAAUAAAUACCUACUUUAUUCCUUAACACUGUCUAGCCUCUGUUCUAGGUAGCCUCUCAAGGCAUCGGAUAAAUAGAAGACUGAGUGUCACAGCAAUUACAUGCAUAACUAGAUGUGACAACAUCCAUGCCUUCAUUGAUGUAAACUGCUGCUUUAGUAAUUUUGCAGUACUAAGGAGAGUGAAUUGGUCACAGUCUGCCAAGCGCAAGGUCUCAGCAUAGGCUGCCCAACAUUGCACUGCUGCACCCGUCAUGCCUUCAUCACUCUGGACACAGUGUCCUACUGUGAAAGAACCCAAUUCCCAAGAUCUCCAGAACCUCACCCUUCUCUUUCAGAGAAACAAUGGCUCCAAACUUUUCUAAGCCUAAAUUGCCCACAGGAUCCUGUCCCAGAUAGGAAGAAAAACUUAUGCUUAAAACAACUCAGGAUUUAGAAGAUGCAAGUUUAAAAGGGAAAAAAAUACUUCGUAAAAAUCAAAUUCCAAUACCAUCUGCUCUUGAAGUGCUCUGAGACUAGAGGAGUCAAGCAGUGCUGGCAAUCAAAGUCUAUCCUGCAAGUGACUACAUCAACACUGCGAAUAGAGCAGAGUGCUGAAGCAACAGUCAGAAGCAAGUGCAGGCCCUAAAGAAAGAGAAAUGUCAUCCUAAUCCACCUAAAGAAGAAAGAAAAACAACCAUUAUUUCAGCUGAAUACUUUGUGUUAGAAUACCAGAAAAGAGAUAAAAUAACUUAUAACAAAGGGGAAAUACAAAACAAACAAAACAAUAAAGAAGUGAAAUACUAAAUAAGGCAUAUGGAAGACAAAUGGAGAUUAAACUAGUUUGGUUGAUUCCUGGUGUGCUAUCCUGAAAACUGAAAGAAAUAGGAUAAUGAAGAGAGAUGUGGUAAUCUCAGAAGUAAUUUCUUGAAAAGAGAUAUUAAUGUUACAAAAUGCCUCCUUCAUCAUUUCACUACUGAGCCAAGCAAUAAAGUUUCACCUUUCUGCUGAUUGGAUCAAUGCUACAGAUCAGCUGUGGAGAAAACAGGCUGCAUGGAAGGAGAAAGAAUCAGUCUCUGUGGCAUCUGAAGCUUUUUCCCUUGUUCUGUUAGUGCAAUACUAAUGUUAGGAUGAGAAUACUGAAGGCCCUAAGGACAACAUGGACAUUAUGGGAAGGAUAAAUCCUCCUCAUAGAUCCUCUUCCCAGGGCACAGAGCAGCCAUCUGGACAGUUGCUGUGUUAGUCUUUAUUCAGAGAUGCUGUAUGUACCUCAGGCUCUGUAUAACCAUGAGGGUUUACUGAUUACAGAACAUUUUCUGAUAUUAAAUACUGUACUUAGAGUGACAUAGCAAUUAAUGACAAACACAACUGAGAAUAUGGAUUCCAUUGGGCAUGGGAAGCCAUGGUUUUCAAAUCAGUUGCCGAUUCUGUAAUCGCUGACUUGAAAGUCCAGCUGUGAUAUGCAACUGUAGAGCACUAUAAUCAUUUGAAAGCUAUUUGAACACACGGACCAUGAAAAAUAAAUGCUAAUGAGCUAUUCAUCUCAUCAAUACAUUUUGUUGUCCUUUUCACUGACAGCUAUCACCAGGAUUGCUAUGGUAUGUCUUUCAGAAUAGUAAAUACUGUUUUAUUUGCUAUGUGGGUCAGAGAGAAAGAGCCCCAUAAAUAAAAAGCUUGUACUUGACACAGAAGGGUCGUUAAGCAUUGUGGUAUCUCCUUUGCAGUGUGAAAGAUAAAAUGAUUCCAUUUUAUUGGGGAAAUAAUUGAAUUUGGUAAAAAGAAUCAUCUCCACUUUCAAAAUUAUUUACUCUCAAUUUUCUGAAACAAUGCAUUCCUGUAGGAACUAAAAAGAAACUUGACCAAAUUUCCUUAUUUUUCAGAUAACCGUAACAAGCAAAACACAGUGAUGCCUGGAAUGAUCAAGUCUAUCUACAUAUACAUAGGAAAAAAAGAAUGUUUUGAGUGGGUAUUUUAAGUACCUUUAGGUGAUUGAUUUGAGUAGAAGUGAUUAUUUAAACAACCUUAGACAGCUGGCUGAACAUACUUCCUGAUUUCUCCUGGAAAACUUGGCAUCUGAGUCAGAAAGAAAAUAGCCAUGGGAGAUGAGGUAUAACAAAGAAAAACUUUAUCUUCUUUGCCCACCCUUCUUUCCUGACUCUGGUAAGUAGGCUGGUUUCAGUGAAUGAUCUCUGUUCACCCCACUGCAGUGAGGGGUGAAUCUGGUGUGCACUUUGAAUAACAUGAGAUAGUGAAUGCUCCCCAGAAAAGUGCUCCCUUUACUUUUAAGUUGAUGGAAAAUGAUCACAAAUGAGAGCUGAGAACAACUUCAUUUUAGUAUUACCUAAACAAUGAAAAAUUGUCAUUCUUUACUCAAUGGUAUCAUGUUCCUGUGAAUUUCUAAGAAAAUUAGAAAGAAAGCAUAGUAGGUAAUCUUUGAGUUUAUGACUGCAUUUGAAAUAUCAGUGACGAGUCCUUUAUUUCUACAAAAAGCUGUUAAAAUAUUCCCUCAAUGCAUUUUUUUUGACAUUUGGAAAAUGGUGGGAGUAGUUAUUCUUUACUAUUAUUUCAAAUGUAUUGUUCAGUACGUACAAUUGUCAUCUUACAUCUAUCGAAAUAGAGUGGAAUCUUAUAUCAACUGCCUUCUGCUAAUUUUUUUUUGUUUGCUGGAAGAGUUCAGUUUUUAAGGCUAAAUUGGGAAAUCAAACCAAUAUUUUCCUUCAUAUAUUAGCCUUAUAUUUAUUUUCACUAUUAAUAAUGUGUCUAUUAUACAUAUUUUCUUUUGGAAUUAUACUUUAAAAUUGGGGUACUGUAAUUUAGAAUAAUGUAGAAAGUACUUUGGUGCAUUCUCACUGAAAGAGAUAAGGCUGAUAAUAAUAAUAAUGUUUUUUGAAAGGCAUUGUUAAGGAAGAAGUAUCAGUUCCCCUUAUAUAAUUCAAAGUUUUCCACAGCUCUGUUUUGAACAGUUGUGAACUUUACUUCUGAACUUUCAAACUUCGAGCUGGACACCUUCCAGCAACAUAGGUAACACUGAAGUUUUCCAUAGACUGAUUUUGCCUGUAAUGGAGUUAUUUUUCUUCAUGGCAGCCUGUAUGGUGGUGUGUUUUUGAAUUUGUGAUUGAAACAGGGUUGAUAACAAACCAAUUUUGGGGCUGUUGAUGAGCAGUGCUUGCACAGCAUCAAGGCAUUUUCUCUUUCCUGCUCUAUCUCC